UACAAGAAGUCACGGGGGGUAGGGGCGAAAGAGGGUGAAAACCACCCUGCGGUGCUGCCGGGGCGGGGAGGAAACCUGCCGCCCCAGAGCCACGUGCUGAAGCCGGCGCUGGGUGGGUGGCUGGCCCCGCCCUGAGUGGCUCGGGGAAGGGGGGCUUGCUGGGAACCGCUGCAGGCCAAGUUCCCUGGGGAGGAAGAGAACUCGGGGUGGACACCCUCGACCCCAGGGCACCAGGGAACAAAUGUGUCUGGAGUAGGAGGUCCAGUUCCCUUCGAUGGGGGCAGCUCUGGCCGAGCCUGAAGAAAUGCACUUGCCUAACCUAACUUCCUUCCCUGACCGUGGUGGGAUGGGGUGGAAGCUGGAGACUACCCCGACCUCAUACCCUUCAAAGAGGAUGUAUGUCCCAGGGUUUACAGAACCUCAGUAAACAGAGGGUGGGUGGCGGUUUAGUGAAGGGGGUGGUUGGUGGUAGGAAGAUGGAAGGAAGCUGUAUAAAAAGAGGAAAGAAGAAUUGUAAGAACAUGUGAAGGACAGAACUGGACUCCUUGCAAAGGUGAGUUUAUUACUACCUGAGGACUUAGGCCACAGUCCCCUGAAGACAGGAGAUGGGCUACUUGCAGGCAGUAAUGAGACCCGUGGGGGAGUAUGGGCUUCUUCUUCAGGGUAACAAGGCUGGAGGGGCUCCGGGUGCGAUGGUCUGCCACUGAGGCCGUUUUCAGUAACCACUUUGAGGGGCUGCAUCCCGUGGUUCUGGGAUGCUCAGGGAGGACAAAAUCACCCUUUAAAAGCACCCACCUGCAGCCUACCAGGCACCCAGAAGCUGCUCUAGCCCAGAUAGGUUCCCAGCCCAUGACAGACAGGAAGGAAGGCAGAGGAGCCAGGAGGACAGAAAGGCUGCAGACCCCUGCAGGCGCUUGGAUUUCUUCCACUCCCACUCCAUCCCACUUCACCCCACCAUCCUGGGCCCUGUGUGGUGGUCCUUCUGGGAAGCUGGUGGGCGGCAUCAGUGGGAGUUAUCCUGGGAGCUAAGGCCAGGUGCCGGAGGGGGGCUGUGGCCACCAGGAUGAGCAAGACACAACUGUCCUUGGUGGGCCUCCAGCUGGAUUUCAUUCUCGGGCUCUUUCCGGGAUUUAACUUGCUGUUCUUUCCAAAGCCACGGCUCAACAAGUGAUGCCAGCCCGGGAGGGGGGUGUCUAUGUCUCAUCUUGCAGGCAGAAGUAGCACAACAGCUGGGUGAACAAAACCCGCCCGGAUCUGUCCAGAGCUGUUUGUCAGUACAGCCUCAACAGGGACCACGUGAGCGGCUUCUUGCCCCAUAUGACCCUCAUUCCAACUCACGUAGAGCAGGAAGGAGCUCCUGGCCCCCUUCUCCCUGGACAGCCUUUUCCCAAGUGUGCGGGUGGGCGGCUCAUUUCUGCCAAUCCAGUCCAACUCAAAAUAGCACUGAACCAGACUUCUGGGAAGCUCUGUGCUAGAGGCCUCUGUAGAAAAGAGUUAAAAAUGACAGCUCUUGGGAAAUCGAGGGGUGUAAUUUACUGAGAUGGGUCAAGAUGCAGAGGCCUGUGACGUCAGAGGGCAGAAAUAGUGGCCAGGGACUGGUAUGGAAAGUGUUAGUGGUGGAAGGUCCUGGGCCCUGUGUGGUUGCCCUUUGGGGAAGCUGGUGGGCUGGGCCAGUGGAGAUUAUCUUGGGAACUAAGGCCAGGUGCAGGAGGGGCACUGUGACCGGAUAUUUAAGCCACAAAUGCUGCCAUCCCCCAACUUCCACAUUUUUUUUUUCCAGGCUGAGAACUCCCUUGGUAGGGGUUACCUCCUCCACCAUUUCACAUUCUGAUUUCUCAUGUUUCUGGUUUGGGCUCAGUUCAGUUGCCACCUUCUCUGGGAAGCGCCUUUCUCCUGCCCCAUCGUCUGAGUGCACUUGGCCCAUGCAUCCAGAACUCGGAGUCUCUCCCUGCCACUGAGUUCCUUCUCAUUAUGACCCUGCUAUGCAUGAAAAAAGGAAAGAAAAGGGAAGAGAAGAGAGGAAAGAAGAAAGGAAGGAAGGAAACUUUGGGUUCUGGAAGCUAGAAAUCGGAGAUCGAGGUCUCGGCAGGGUGGUUCCUCCUGGCGGCUUCCGUACCGCUCCGCGGCUGCUGGCUGGGCAGUCUUCCUCCAUCCUUGGCUUGUAGAAGCGGCACCGGCUCUGCCUUUAUCUUCACACGGCGUUCUUCCUGUGUAGAGCAUUCAAAUGAUUCAUGCAAAGGUGGCCACAAAGCACAACAGGAACCUACCACGCAGGUGCUCUCAGGUUUUCUUCAAGGGGCCGCAAGAACAGAGAAUGGAGACCACAGCUUCCCUUCCGGACGCCUUCCCUUCAGUGCCCAGCGCUGUGUGCUCACCGCUCUGGGGCCCACGUCUUGAUGACUACGGAGGACACCUGGCAAAUCUCCAUAAUGGACGGAUGGAGCAGAGGCUGCAGGGUCAAAGCUUGAGGAGCGUGGCCAGAGGAGAGAGACAGAAUGUGAGUGAAUGAGCUUCUGUGUGUGUAUUGGGGGUGGGGUGCUAAUGUGAACUGGGGGGCACCGGCCUUGCAUCACAGGGUAGAGGCUGCUUAGCACUGGUUUCUUACUGUCAAGUGGUAACGUAGACCUGGGCCUGGUCUCAUGCAGAAUGGAAAUGAGAUUUUUAUGUAAAAGCUUCCAGUUUGUACAUGAUGGCACAGUCGUUUAUAAAGCAUUGUCUGGGGGCCAGUUUAGGUGAACCGUCUACCAGUAUGGGAUUCUAACACAGAUACAUUUCUCAAAUGAGGAGCGUCAUUCACAGGGUCAGAAGGUCUGGGGCUGGACCUGGGAACAUGCCUUCUUCACAAGCCUCCUCUCCACCCCCUCCCCUCCCCCCUAGGGUGGUCUGAUGCCCAGUGGAGUCUGAGAGCCACCAAACCGGAGUUACGAGGGAGGCAGCUUCCCACGUAGGGGCAGGCUAGGCGGGCAGGAUCACGUUCCCUGUUUGCACCAGCCUGGAGCGCCCAUGGCCUGGCCCCAGUUUCUCAGGGCCAACGGCGUCCAGAGCACAUACUUUCAUGUGCCAGGAGCAGGGAGAAGAGAAAGGCGGAGAGGGGCCCUGCAGGAAGAGGACGCCCCCGCUCCCUCCCAGCCUCCCUCUGGCUCUCUACAGCCCCACCUGGUUUAAUGCCAGUCCCAGUGGCUUUUACCCUACUGGGCAGUGUGACCGCCAGCCUGAUGCCUGUUGCUUCCUGGGGAGCUUUGUCUGGAUGGGAACCUUUGUGGGGAGACGGCCCAAAUAGAGAUGUCAAGUUCUAGGAAAAGGCAGGCACAGGUCUCCGGACUGCCUGGGAGCUGAUGGAUGGGUGUUAAGCAAUAUGUUUGUAGGCUUCUUGCUUAAUCGUCACAAGUGCAGUGAACACUGGCAGUUCUCUGGCUGGGUCGUCUGCUCUGAAAAUCCACAGGCUCCUCUUUAACAGCUGGGAACCACCUGUCUUCUGUAGGUGUUUAUUCUGCCACCAGGACACUUUACAGGGUUCACCUGGCAACUCGGAUGCUCUGUGGGAUAAGUCAGUGUUCCAGCUCAAUAUUCCCAGGUUCCUGUAGUUCAAGGACUCUGGAAAUGCCCCCUCCUCCACGUCCCCUGUCACCUCUCUAGGGCAGGGCACAUGGGAGGAGCAAAUAUGUUUGUUGGUAGAGCAACAUGAAGGAAAAUAUCAAUCUGAUGUUUGUCUUUCCAGGGAUAAUUAGCAAAGUGAUCCAUUCUGUCCACCCCACCAGCCUACAAAGGCUCACUUCCAUGUUACAGCUAAAGAAGAUACUUUGAUUUCCCCAAAAGAAAAUAAAAAGAAACAAAUUAAUGAGACUUAUUUCUAUGUACAUUUCUAUCCCUAAAGGGUCUGCUUUGAGUCUUCUGCCUAGAUUACUCUCAGCAAAUAUUUUUAGUUGUUAAGAACCAUAAUUGACAUAAAAUAUAGCUGCUCUAAGGCUGUGUAGUAGUUUUAAUACCUGUAAUAAAAUAGCAAACUUAGUGGAGACUAUGAACCAUAGCAAGAGCUAACGUUUGCUGAGCACUUUCUAUGGGCCAGGCUCAGAGCUAAGUGCUUUCCUUGGGUUCUUUCAUUUAGUCUUUACAAGUCUGUGAGAUUUAAUCCUCAAAACCAUUCAACCAGGGAAGUAAUACCACCAUUUUACAGAUGGGGAAAGUGAAUCUUAGAGGCUGAAUGUGCGAGAUGCUUUACAUGGCUUAUAUUAUGUGAUCCUCAGGUCAAUCCUGCACGAUUCCCCUCCCAACAGCCCUAUAGGAAGGCAUUAUUGCCGUUUUAAGGAUGAGGGAACUGACGUGUGAGGUAGUUAAACAUGCCCAUGUUUGCACGGCUAUUAGAUAGAGGAGGUGGGAUUUGGACCCAGGAAGAUGUGGCUCCAAAUACAACCCUUUCCCUCUAAGUUCUAUCAAGCGAUGCAACACAGCCUAGGUAGACCUGUGCAUGUAUACUCAUUGUAUCAGUGUUUGUAAAGGGGAAAAAGCUGGGAAACACCUACAUGUCCCUCCGUAGAAACUGUGCGAGGUAAUAAAUGAAUACCAUUGUUUUAGUUUAGGGGUGAUUAUACUUAUUCAGGAAUAAGUCUAAUACAAGCUGGGAGGGAGGGCAGAGACUAAUUUCCAGGAGGCAUCCUGGUGGUCCCUGGAGCCUGUCCUUGUAGAAGAAAGAACAGAGCACGGAUACCUGUAGACUCUUAACCCUUGACCUAGGAAUCCAGGAGCAUUUGUCCUGCAUACUUACUUCUUGGCUCCCAGCCUGUCUCAAGGACAGCUGUCCAUCAUGCCAGCAUCCAUUCUUGACUUCUUCCCUUCUCUGCUUACUCUCAUUUCCUUUGAGAGCAACUAAGUCCUCUUAUUUCCUCUCUUUCCCCACUGCGCUUCUCUGUCAGCCCCUGGGGAUCCUGGCCCAUGGUGUUAUGCAGGCCUGGAUUCGGAGAGUUUUCCCAGUCAUCAGUUUUACCCAGAGGGCACUUGGGUCCAACAAGGUCUCUACCUCCUUCUUCUUGGAACUGGCCUCUCCCACAGUUCUGACCAAGAAUUACAAUGGAAACUCCCAUCUUCUUACAGAACCCCCUGCCCUCCCAGGCUCCUUGCUUUCUGUUGACUGGCCAGUCGGAGCCCUCUCCUAGAAGUUUCCAACUUGGAGCACAGAGAGAG